GACGAACGCUGGCGGCGUGCUUAACACAUGCAAGUCGAACGGAAAGGCCCUGCUUUUGUGGGGUGCUCGAGUGGCGAACGGGUGAGUAACACGUGAGUAACCUGCCCUUGACUUUGGGAUAACUUCAGGAAACUGGGGCUAAUACCGGAUAGGAGCUCCUGCUGCAUGGUGGGGGUUGGAAAGUUUCGGCGGUUGGGGAUGGACUCGCGGCUUAUCAGCUUGUUGGUGGGGUAGUGGCUUACCAAGGCUUUGACGGGUAGCCGGCCUGAGAGGGUGACCGGCCACAUUGGGACUGGGAUGCGGGCCAGACUCCUACGGGAGGCAGCAGUGGGGAAUAGUGCACAAUGGGCGGAAGCCGGAUGCAGCAACGCCGCGUGGGGGAUGACGGCCUUCGGGUUGUAAACCGCUUUCGCCUGUGACGAAGCGUGAGUGACGGUAAUGGGUAAAGAAGCACCGGCUAACUACGUG
rnacentral:rRNA from 1 species